rnacentral:misc_RNA from 1 species
AAACGAUUUAAACCCAAAAUGAAUAUGAAGUACAGAACUGCAUUCUCAUGGGCACAAGAGUAUACACACAUACACAUGGAUCACAUAUAAUCUAUAGUAAACAAGAAGCCAUCAAUAUGGUCAGUUAUGGUUGUAGCUACAUCUGAGAACACAGAACGCAACUGGGAUAGAGUUCUUUAAAAAAAAAUAUAUAAAUUCACAUAAAGAGGAUCCAACAGAGCAUGAAAAUAGAUAUGGAAUAAAUAAUUCAUAAACAAACAGAUAAAAGGGUAUAUUGGUUUUGUGAGCCACAAAUUUGAGGCAAGUAUAAAGCCAUGGAUGAUGCGAAAAUAAAGUAGCAUGGGAAAAAAAUCUACAAACAAUAUAAGGCCAAAUCAAAAUAAA